rnacentral:rRNA from 1 species
UACGUAGGGGGCGAGCGUUGUCCGGAGUUACUGGGCGUAAAGCGCUUGUAGGCGGUCCACCAAGUUUGGGGUGACAGUUGCCGACUUAAUCGGCAAAGUGCCUCAAAGACUGGCGGACUUGAGGGCCACAGAGGGACAUGGAACUCCAGGUGUAGUGGUGAAAUGCGUAGAUAUCUGGAAGAACACCAAAGGCGAAGGCAGUGUCCUGGGUGGUCGCUGACGCUGAGACACGAAAGCCAGGGGAGCGAACGGG